rnacentral:misc_RNA from 1 species
ACGAGUUAGGGCCUCUGGCCCGAACCUCCAACCCUUUGUAUCAUAACCUACGUUGCCUCGGCGGAGCAGCCCUGCCCCCGUACGGGACUGGCCCCCCGCAGGACCCACAAACCUCUGAAUUGUAUUGGACGUCUGAGUUUAAAAAGACUAAAUAAAUCA